rnacentral:rRNA from 1 species
UACGUAGGGUCCGAGCGUUGUCCGGAAUUACUGGGCGUAAAGAGCUCGUAGGUGGUUUGUCGCGUUGUUCGUGAAAACUCACAGCUCAACUGUGGGCGUGCGGGCGAUACGGGCAGACUAGAGUACUGCAGGGGAGACUGGAAUUCCUGGUGUAGCGGUGGAAUGCGCAGAUAUCGGGAGGAACACCGGUGGCGAAGGCGGCGACCUGGGUAGAUACGUGACGCUGAGGUGGCGAAAGCGUGGGGAGCAAACAGG